rnacentral:misc_RNA from 1 species
GGGAUUUUAUGUUAUAUUUUUAAAAUGAGGAACUGUAAUAUUACAAUUAAAUAAGUUUAGGGACAGUUAUCAAAAUUUAUCCCAACAAAAUCAAUCAUACUAAUAACACAAAAAUUUUUACAUGGAGAAACUCUUCAAAUUAAAUGGGAAAAACAAUGGGACUUUUUCUCCACUAUUAUAAAAGUAAGGUUACAAACACCUCAUCCAAAUUCUCACUGUAGCAAUACAAAUUAAUCCCAAUAACAAUGAUAUUAUUAUAUAAAAAAAAAAGGAAAAGAAAAUGUAGAGAAGUGCAAAAUUUAACUAAAUAGC